rnacentral:rRNA from 1 species
CCUACGGGAGGCAGCAGUGGGGAAUAUUGGACAAUGGGGGCAACCCUGAUCCAGCCAUGCCGCGUUUGUGAAGAAGGCCCUCGGGUUGUAAAGCACUUUCAGUGAGGAAGAACGCCUGGUGGUUAAUACCCAUCAGGAAAGACAUCACUCACAGAAGAAGCACCGGCUAACUCCGUGCCAGCAGCCGCGGUAAUACGGAGGGUGCGAGCGUUAAUCGGAAUUACUGGGCGUAAAGCGCGCGUAGGUGGCUUGAUAAGCCGGUUGUGAAAGCCCCGGGCUCAACCUGGGAACGGCAUCCGGAACUGUCAAGCUAGAGUGCAGGAGAGGAAGGUAGAAUUCCCGGUGUAGCGGUGAAAUGCGUAGAGAUCGGGAGGAAUACCAGUGGCGAAGGCGGCCUUCUGGACUGACACUGACACUGAGGUGCGAAAGCGUGGGUAGCAAACAGGAUUAGAUACCCUGGUAGUC